rnacentral:rRNA from 1 species
GUGUCAGCAGCCGCGGUAAUACGUAGGGUGCGAGCGUUGUCCGGAAUUACUGGGCGUAAAGAGCUCGUAGGUGGUUUGUCGCGUCGUUUGUGUAAGUCCACGGCUUAACUGUGGGAUGGCAGGCGAUACGGGCAUAACUUGAGUGCUGUAGGGGAGACUGGAAUUCCUGGUGUAGCGGUGAAAUGCGCAGAUAUCAGGAGGAACACCGAUGGCGAAGGCAGGUCUCUGGGCAGUAACUGACGCUGAGGAGCGAAAGCAUGGGUAGCGAACAGGAUUAGAUACCCUGGUAGUCCAUGCCGUAAACGGUGGGCGCUAGGUGUGAGUCCCUUCCACGGGGUUCGUGCCGUAGCUAACGCAUUAAGCGCCCCGCCUGGGGAGUACGGCCGCAAGGCUAAA